rnacentral:tRNA from 1 species
GAGAUCAUGGCGAAAAGGCGAACGCAGCGGACUGUGAAUCCGCCAGUACCGGUUCGAUUCCGGUUGGUCUCCCCA